UACGAAGGGUGCUAGCGUUGUUCGGAAUUACUGGGCGUAAAGCGCACGUAGGCGGAUACUUAAGUCAGGGGUGAAAUCCCGGGGCUCAAACCCGGAACUGCCUUUGAUACUGGGUAUCCCGAGUCCGGAAGAGGUGAGUGGAAUUCCGAGUGUAGAGGUGAAAUUCGUAGAUAUUCGGAGGAACACCAGUGGCGAAGGCGGCUCACUGGUCCGGUACUGACGCUGAGGUGCGAAAGCGUGGGGAGCAAACAGG
rnacentral:rRNA from 1 species